GGGGCUAUGGCGCAGCUGGUAGCGCAUCUGCUUUGCAAGCAGAGGGUCGCCGGUUCGAAUCCGGCUAGCUCCA
rfam:Bifidobacterium subtile strain LMG 11597 Contig21, whole genome shotgun sequence.